GGUCGCCAUGACGUCGUGUCUUCUUGUCGUCUUGUGUCGGUUGUGUCGCCUUUGUUGUUGUAUAUCUAUAAAAAUUUUAAGAUUAUGGAACUGAGACGUGGCCCUUCCGUUGUCACCAGGGCUAUUUAGGACAAGGCAUAUUUCCUUGUUGCCGAUAAUGGAAGUAGAUUUUGAGAGGCAUGACUCCAUUAGUGUCAAGUUUGCCUACCUGCUCGUUGACAGAGGGAAAGAACUGUCAGAAAAUAACGGACAUCAUUGGGCCACGUGGAGGAAAAUGUCUGAUACAUCGACCCUUCAUAGAAGAAAGAGAAGGAGGAGGAGGAAUUUAGACAAUAUUUUGUCAUUGCUUUAACUUUAUAAAUAAUAGAAUUGCAGUACUAUACUUUUUUUUAGAUAAUUCAUCUUCUGGUCUGAUAGCCAUUCCACACAAGGUCCUAGUAUGUUACUGGUUAUCACUCAAAAGAAUUGGUUCAGCUUUCCUUAAAAGUAUUACCGCUCUAGCCUUUAAAAAGAUAUGUUUAUUUUUCAAGAUUGAACAAUGCGUUUUAGUAUGCUAACUGUAUAUUGUAUUGAAUCCUUAGUAUCAGUGUAGUAUUUGGUUUUUCAUGUAUGAAAUCAUUUUUUUUUUUCGUUUAGGAUAUAUUAGUGUGUAUGACCUUGAUAUACUUACAUUUCAGUGACAAUUUCAGCCGUAAAUCUAGUAAUUCACUAGAACAUUGUUGGUUACAUUACCGAGGCAGACACUUGACUGCCUAACAAUAAUUUUGUACGUGUAUACUUUGCAAAUAUUUUAUCUUCACGUAUGCCAAAACAACCAGUGACAUCAGAAGUGGUGGAACUAGCUAGGUAACGACUAGCAACUUGUGAAACUGUCCUAUCUCAUCUGUUCAUUUCAUAAACUUAAAAACUUUCUUUCAUACGGUCAUUUUGUCAGUUUCAUUGAAGGAUUGUAUUUCUGUAUAGCCGUUCACUGUCAUCACAGGUUAGGUUAGUGCUUAGUCUGGAUUCAAGCUUCCCAAAUGCAGGUCCCUUUUACCAGUUUCCUUUAGAUGUCUUGAGAGUUCAUUCUGUCAGGAGAACCAUAUGUCAUCAGACACGUUCUUGACUUAAUACAGAUGAAAUUAUCAGGAAUGGGGUGUGGCGUUCUGUAUCGUACUAGUGAAUCAGGGUGGGAGUGGGUUACUACCCAGGUACCUGUACAAAUGAGGGGGAGAAAUAUGACCAUCUAAUUCAUGUAUAGUAUUUUUAUCGUGUCCACUGAAAUAAACUCCUCGUCCUGGUCACCUUGUAAAGUAGAACGUCUCUUAAUACCCCAUUACUAUUCCCCUUGUAUCCCUUUUCAACCUUGUGCCGUUUUUAUUUAGAACAGUGAUUAACAUCCAAAACUCUUUCUAUGCUAGACUUCAGGUUUUGCUUUUACCAGGAAUCUAUUUCUUGGUCUGCCCUUGUGUUUAGUCUGUUAUGCAAAAUAUUCAUCAGGUCCUUGGGUGUAAUAAAGUCAAGCUGGAAGUGCAUGGCUUCCAACUUCCAAAGGUAGAUGAUGUUAUUGGUUGUCCUUUUCCAUAUUUGUGGCUUUCCGUAGGGUUCUGUUCUUGUACUCAAUCUUUUUCUCCUCUAUUGGUCCCAUAGCUUUACUUCAUCUGCCUAUGGUUUAGUAAAUCGUGUUUCAUCAUCUUGCCUCUAUUGUCCUUCUCUAAGCUUGCGCUCGUUUUCAUUUUAAUUGCUCUUUCUCCAUCCUCUGCCUCAAGCCUUAGGAACAAAUCUAAUGUAUAUGGCAAUCUGUAUUUGGAAAGUUGAAGGUCUCAAAGACUCCUUAUUGGACCUUUUUUUUCUCAUCCCAUCCAUUUCCCAAUUCACUUGAUUGAUUGUUCUUUGUGUUGAAUCUAUAUAGACUACAUCCUUUUUCAAAGACUACAUCCCUUUUUCAAGGAUCCAUAUUUUGGUGGUUCAGAAAACUGGUGAAACUAUACAUCAGGGAUUGUUUAUAGAAGAGCUUACUUAUUUUCUUUAUGCACCUAUUUUUGUAUUUUGUUCCAGUAAUUCUAAUGUUUUAUUGGCUUGGUCUUUCCUUGUUUUGGAAUAUUGGUCCUGCAGAAGAGGUGGUUUCUUUGAUGUUGCUGUGCUAGAGGCAGCUCCUCCAGAAGAUGGCCCAGACCCCUUGAAAGAAAUUCUCCAGGAGGAAUCCUAAUGGUAAAAUACCAAUGACAAUGAAACAAAUAUUCCAGUGGGGUGGUUUGUUUAGUGAAUAUUUUGUCCUUUUCAUCAGUCCCUACACUGUAACACUUUCCUUCAGUUCUAAAUUUCUGUUCCAGCUGUAAGUUAUUUAUAUAUUUAUUUUUAAUAAGUGAGAACGUCUCCUGUAUUUCCCUUUACCUCCCUUUACUUGUAUUGAUCACUAUAUUCUUUGGAAGCUUCAAUUUCAAGUCAAUGGCACCUUUGGUGGGCUUGUUUCACACGAAUAGGGUUCAUCUUCUGAAUAAUAAUAAUGACAGUACUAGUAUCGUUUUUGCUUGCUUAUCAUUGAGAUAUGUAGGUACCCUUAAUGUGCUUUGUACCCUUCCCCACUUUUGUGCUUGUGUCCUGAAGAUAUAUAUACCUUCAUAAGGCCCUUCCCAGUUGUGUAGGAAAUGGGGGCGAGUCCUUUGGUUAGCAGAAGAAGGCCAUCAAUAGACGAAAUUAAGGACUUGCAACUCGCAGGUGGAGUCCACCACACACCAUUGAAUAACUAUUUUUUAUUACUUGAUAUGAAUUGGCUAUUUAAUUUGUCUGCUCUUAACUGACUGUUCUGACCUAAGUGAAAAUAAGUGGUUUGUCUCGGUGUAACAGAUAAAUUAAUAAAGUGACCAUGUAUAUAGUUUUGUGAAGCGCUCUCUCUCUCUCUCUCUCUCUCAUAAAUGCAUUCCGAAUACUUACAGUGCUGUUGGGCAGUAUAAAGAGUAUAGAAAAAAAAUGGGUAAUGAUGACAGAGCUAUACUUGAGUAAUUGAAUUUGAGCCUUGUUUAAUUGUCCAGGUAUAUUGCUUUCCAUAAGCAAUUAAAAUUCAACAGUGGGAGUCAAUAAGUACAAAGUUGAGAGAAAGUCCAGUUAUAUUUUGAGUUAUUUACAUUUACAAAAUUAUCAUCGUUUUUCGGGGCUUUUGACGUGAAAUUCAAGAAGCCUCCAAAGAAUAUCAAGGUGUUCAUCGUUAAGAAGUAAAAGAAGGUAAUUGGAAAUGCAAAGAGAGCAACUAUAGGUAAGUUUACACAUGAAUUAAAGUAUGGGUACAGAAAGAAAAAAAAGAUAAUUUUAAAACUUAAAAUGGAAUGUCGAAUAACUGGUUGGAGGAUAUAAACCACCUUUCUAGUGAGAAGGUCCAAGGUAAAGUAGUCUUGAAACCUUUGAAUGUGCUUCCCUCCAUUAAGGAGUAUCUGUAGAAAUAAGAAUGCUGCAUUUAAAGAAGCAUCGGUAAGUAUUUCGUAUGUCGAGAGAUUCCUUGAAAAUGCUAAGAGGCCACUUCAAAGGUGCCAUGGCUAUUUUCCACUUCUAUCUCGAACAUCUCUCGCAGAGAAAUGCAGGCAGAUUAAA